CUGAACAGUCCAUUUCCCGGUCCCUUUCAUACCAGUCUUAUCCAAAAUCUUAUCCACCAACUCUCCAUCACCAAACUCAUCCUUAACCCUAAAGAUAUCGGAAGUAAUCUCAACCAAGAAACUCUCGAGCUCACCUCGGUUCCACUCCGUGAAGAUCUCCGCAAGCUCCUCGUUGCUCAACCCACCAACGUUCUUCAACACGUCGUAAGCCUCAGAGAUAAGCUGCAUAUCUCCAUACUCAAUCCCAUUAUGAACCAUCUUCACGAAGUUUCCAGAUCCGCCUUCUCCGAUGUAAGUAACGCAAGGCCCGUCCUCAACCUGAGCCGCCACUUUCCCCAAGAUGUCUUUGAUGUUAUCAUACGCCUGAAACGACCCUCCUGGCAUCAGCGAGGGACCGUUACGAGCCCCUUCCUCGCCGCCGGAGACUCCCAUCCCCAAGUAGAGCAAUCCUUUCUGCUCAGCUUCGGAGAUCCGUCGCUCUGUGUUCUGGUACCACUCGUUUCCUCCGUCGAUGAUGCAGUCUCCGGGCUCCAUGUACUCGGAGAAGGCAGCGAUGGUCUGGUCGACGGGGGCUCCGGCUUUGACGAGGAUGAUGAGGGAACGAGGGCGUUGGAGCGAGAGGACGAAGUCGCGCGGGGAGUAUUGGCCGGAGACCGGGAGGUUUCCUUCGACGGCGGCGCGAUCUAGGGUCUCGUCGACUUUGGAGGUGGUCCGGUUGUAGACGGAGAUUGGGAAGCCUUUCUCGGCGAUGUUCAAGGCGA
rnacentral:lncRNA from 1 species